rnacentral:tRNA from 1 species
AAUUUUUUAGUAUAUUGUAUAUUUGGCUUCCAACCAAAAGGUCUAAGAACUUAGAAAAAUUA